rnacentral:rRNA from 1 species
AUGAACGCUGGCGGCGUGGAUAAGGCAUGCAAGUCGGACGAUUUCCUUUUUGAAGAAGAUGCGAUUACAUCAAGUCAACUGGUAUUUUGGAGAUAGUGGCGAACGAGCUAGUAACACCUUGGUACGUACCCAAAAGUUUGGUAUAGCUCGCCGAAAGGCGGGGUAAUCCCAAAUAAUCCCUCUAUCUAUCGGAUAGAAGGGUAAAGUCGCAAGACGCUUUUGGAGCGGCCUAGGACCGAUCAGUUAGUUGGUGAGGUAAUGGCUCACCAAGACGAUGACCGGUAGGGG